UACGACUACAUAUCAGGCAUAUCAAUAAGCGGAGGAAAAGAAACUAACAAGGAUUCCCUUAGUAACGGCGAGUGAAGCGGGAAGAGCUCAAAUUUGAAAUCUUCAAGGUUUUACCUUGACGAAUUGUAGUUUAAAGAAGUGUUUUCUGUUGAAGUUUCGGUAAAAGUUCUUUGGAAUAGGACAUCAUAGAGGGUGAGAAUCCCGUAUUUGACCAUUUCUUCCAGCUGUGUGAUACACUUUCAAAGAGUCGGAUUGUUUGGGAAUGCAGUCCAAAAUGGGUGGUAAAUUUCAUCUAAAGCUAAAUAUUGGCGAGAGACCGAUAGCGAACAAGUACCGUGAGGGAAAGAUGAAAAGAACUUUGAAAAGAGAGUUAAACAGUACGUGAAAUUGUCAAAAGGGAAGCGUUUGACACCAGUGUUGUUUUCUCGAAAAUCAAUUAAAAAUGACCGGAUUUUGUGUUGUAUUGACUUUAUCAGCUUUCUGCACUUUUUUCUUGUCUUUUUUAAUGCACUUUUCGUUUAACAAGUCAACAUCAAUUUCUUUUGUUGUAAAAGAGUCAUUGGAAGGUGGCUUUCAUUUCGGUGAAAGUGUUUAUAGCCUUUGACUUCUGCAAUCGGAGAGAUUGAGGUCUGCAGCGUAGAUCCUUCGGGGUUAGAUACAUUUGUGCUAAGUCUAUAGUUCUUUCAUAGACAACAUUGUUGACUAUGAUCAAUCCUGUAGCUUACUCGCUUAUGCUAUUUUACCUACGCUUAGGAUGUUGAACGCGCACAGAGUCUC
rnacentral:rRNA from 1 species